rnacentral:rRNA from 1 species
UACGUAGGGGGCGAGCGUUGUCCGGAUUUACUGGGCGUAAAGCGCGUGUAGGCGGCCGUUUAAGUUGGGUGUGAAAGCCCGGGGCUCAACCCCGGGACGCCGCCCAAGACUGGACGGCUUGAGGACGGAAGAGGGGAGUGGAAUUCCAGGUGUAGCGGUGAAAUGCGUAGAUAUCUGGAGGAACACCGGUGGCGAAGGCGGCAUCCUGGACCGACACUGACACUGAGGAGCGAAAGCCAGGGGAGCAAACGGG